GAGUUUGAUCUUGGCUCAGAUUGAACGCUGGCGGCAGGCCUAACACAUGCAAGUCGAGCGGUAGAGAGAAGCUUGCUUCUCUUGAGAGCGGCGGACGGGUGAGUAAUGCCUAGGAAUCUGCCUGGUAGUGGGGGAUAACGUUCGGAAACGGACGCUAACACCGGACAUACGUCCUACGGGAGAAAGCAGGGGACCUUCGGGCCUUGCGCUAUCAGAUGAGCCUAGGUCGGAUUAGCUAGUUGGUGGGGUAAUGGCGUCACCAAGGCGACGAUCCGUAACUGGUCGUGAGAGGAUGAUCAGUCACACUGGAAC
rnacentral:rRNA from 1 species